AGCACCCGUGACUCAGAGCGGUAUUUGCAUAUCCUUGAUCAAGGAAAAAAAAAAGUGACUGGGAGCUCAAGAAGAGCGGGAUCUGGGAAGAGGCAAAAAGAAAAGUAUAGUCAGAAGUGGGUGAGGCUUUCCUCCCCUGGAACGUGCUGCUUUGCACCUGGAAAUGUCUGCCUAGGCACAGCCCCACCACCGCCCACUCUCCUCCCCAUGCUGGAUAUUCCCAUGCAGGCUGAUACAAGCAAGCAGAGACUGUGGGAUCUGGCUUUACCCUGUCUGGGCAAGAUGACUUUCUCAAGAUCAUCUUACACAUCCAUGCUAAUGCAGACAACAGAGGUUUUGUUACUCCCACAUUCUCCUUCUCUCUGCAGACCCUGGACACACAUCCUUUGGUUAUCUGCAUGAAUAGGUUAGCUUUAUUUUCUUACAUUAACAACCUUUUGCUGCAAGAGAAUGUUGUAACUGGAUAUUGAUCUGUUUAAAAGAAAUCAGACAGGUCAUAUCUCUUCCCCAUGGCUCUGGUAGAGUAAAAGGAUGGCGGAGCUCCCCUCUGCCUCACUACACCACAUUUUACUUCUCAGCUGCCUCAUGCACUGAGUCUUUCUCUUCACUGUGAUGACCUUUCCCAGUUUUAUUUUUUGAUGGUCUCUUCCCUUUCUGUAUGUGGUAGACUUAGCCCUCCCUAUUCUCAUUCUGUUUCUUUCCUUCCUUCCUUCCCUUUUUGAGGCCUUUGAGGAUAAUUUUUGCUGAAGAUUUCUACAAGAAAUUCAGAGGAACUUAAAACCACAAGAUACACAAACAGCAAGUCUUAAGAUUCAAACUUCAAGGUUCGGACUCAUUUUAAGGCAUGGAAACAGCAUGGAAAACCACAGCCCAGUGCCCUCAAAUUUAUCAGCCUUCCUAGUAAUUGGAAAUUAAGUUUUAGAGCCAAGAUGCCAGGUCAGUGUGAACAAUCAGAAGUGGUCCCAGCUCAACCCAUCACUGUUUCCGGGCAGUUUGAUUGAAAUGUCAGCUCUCCUGGAUCUGAUCAUCCAGCACACAAGCUGCAGAAUGUGUGACUGUUCAUUUCAGCGCCUUAUCGCUCUCAUCUUACACUUAGUCCUUUCCAAUAGACUUUGCUGUUUGUCAUGUAGAUACUUAUUAACCCAAAUUAAUCAUUUGGACAUCACUGGCUUGGUUUCUUAUCUGGAAAUUAUAUUGUGAUCAUAUUUUACAUGCACACACAAAUUAAUGCAUGAAACAGAAAAGAAGACCCUGCUAAGCCCAGGCAGUAUAACAAAUACUUCCUCUUCCAGGUGACACAUCUGCAAGGCCUCCCUAUUAAUGCAUAUUUUCACCAACAUUUAUUGAGAUGAAAAUAAGUUCUUGGGAUGCCUCAUUUUUAAACACACCGACCCUGUGAAAGGUUCUCUACAGGCACAGACCAGUAAUUGUCAGUCUAAAAAGGCAACUGUACUAUGUAGUAAAUGUCUGUGUCCAUGCAAAACACACAUAGAAAUCAGUAUAUGCACAUAGAGUUUGUUCAGUAGUUGGUGGUCCUCAGACCUUUCCCAUCUUCUGUCAAAUAUAUCAAAUCACAUCUCCUGAUCUCCAAGAUUAUCCAAAAUCACAGGAUUUACCUUGCACUGUCCUGCAUACACAGUAUACUGCAACACCACACCCUGUUUCCAGCCCAUUAAAACAAGAGCCAAGCUAAUGAAUCCUUUAAUAAGGUCAUCAACCACCCCAGGGCACCGUACAUGACUAAUUGGGUAGAUAGUCACAUGCAGGGCAUCAUCUCUUCAAGCUGGAAGACUGGGGCAGUGUGCUGCAGGUGAGACCUACCCUUGCCAACCAAGCUAUACAAUUAUGGGUGGGGUUGCAGACCCUCACCUUUAUAUCGUGAGUUCUCCCAUUGCACAAGCCAACCCUUCACUCAUCUCUUGUCAUGUGGCUCUGUGUCCCACAUGCUGCAGUGGGUCCUUCCAUCAAGCCAUUCUGCAAGGAAUCUGAGGCAAAGAAAAACAGCUGAUUAGGGGAAAAAAAAAAACACAAGAAAAAGGCAAAUAUCUGCAAGCAGAUGACUCAGGAGUGAGAUGGAGAGGGCAUCAGAAAAGGAUGCCGAGGUACACACCAGGUAACAUCACCAGUACUGUGAGGUGCCCAUAGGUGCUCUGCUCAGAUGUGUAAGUGGAAGCAGACCCAUGGCCACUGCAAACACAGGUCCUCCUCCUGACUGAGUGAUUGCUGAAUAGAUUGCGAGUAAACAGAACAACUCAACAUCUGUGAUUCUCUAUCAUGCUCCUCUUGCAGAAUUACUAUUAGGAGUGCCAAUGUUGCCUCUUCGACUGCUUGCAUGCUCAAGAGAAGGCAGCCGAUGCUCCCAAUGAUAGUAAGACUGUUCCUGGCAUUUGCAAACAUAUCUUCACAUGGAAACUUCCCCUCCAAGGCCAGGGAGGUCUGGUUUUGCUCCUAUUCUCUUAUUCCAUUCUCCCUCCAUGCUGGUUCCUGAAAAUGGAUCAUGUGUAUUUGUAUUAGUAGUAAAGCUGACUGCAUUUUUUUCCAAUGGAGGAAUCCCAUGGAACUUCCUUUUCCCGACUCCAUACGUUGUUGAUUGAUUAAAAUUUUUCAGUGUUUUUGUCUUUUUAAACACCAAAAACUUCAUUUUCAAUUCUGGAAUCCCGAAGAGUAAUUUUUAUGGCAUUAUUUGAAACAAAUACAAUAGAAAGCAUGUAUAUAUUUGGGGAUCAGUUUUGUUUGUCAGGAUUAUGCUGUGUCUGUCCUGCUAUAGUACAUUUAUGAUGAAUCUCAGGAUAUUGCUGGAGACUGGAAUUGGCAGUCCACUUCUGCUCUUUCACAGAUGAUUACAGCAGUGCUUCUGAAAGCAGGAUAGAAUGGUUUAAGCUAACAGUACUCAUCUGAGCGAAGAAAAUCAUUAAGUGCAAUGUGACACAAAGAUUGCUGUUUAUUGUCAGAACUGGUAGUCAAACAUAAAUGUUGGAUUUACAAGAUAGACCAAGUAAAGACAGUGAAUCCCUUUGAUCUAUAAACCAGAUCUGCGCAGCUGACUGUUACUGACAGACUGAAUCCAUGCAGUCCUUGGAUGAAUACCCAUCUUCCUUCAGAGAGCCAGAGAGGGGCAUAGAAAAGUAGAUAAUAUAUUCUCUGUUCAUAAUAAUAACAAUAAUAAUGCAAAGAAUAUAAACACUGACCUCAGAUUUCAGUCACCAUGGGGAAAAGCACUAAUCAAUGGGAGUUUCAUUGUCUGAUAGAUAGCACUUCAGUAAUUGUACAGAGGAAGUAGAAACAAAUCCAUAAUGCCUAUAGUUCAGCUCACCAGGCACCAAAAGCCAACCACUUUCAAUCUAGAAAGGCACAGCAUAUGUUCUUGCAAAGAUGCACAGUAUAUUUGCAGCUGUGUGGGUGAUGAGGUCCCGCACAGAGAAGUCAUGGAUGCCCCAUCCAUGAAGGCAUUCAAGAUUGGGUAGGAUGGGACACUGGACAGCCUGGUCUGGUGGGUGGCAGCCCUGUCUACAGCAGGGUGUUGGAACUAAAUGAUCAUUAAGGUCCCUUCCAACCCAAGCCAUUCUGUGAUCCAAUCCUUAAUGUUUAUGUAUGUAUCUUCAAUGUAUUCUUCAAGGAAAACAGGAGGGAAAACCUACACAUACACAGACAUUGUUCAUUUAGCUGGUGAUGACACAAUUCGUGCUGACUAUGAAAGUUGAUUUAAUCUCCUCCUAGAUUGUCAGCAAUAAAAUACAUAUAUAUAAAUGUGGUCCUAUUGCU
ensembl:lncRNA